rnacentral:tmRNA from 1 species
GGGGCUGAACGGUUUCGACUUCGCGCAUCGAAUCAAGGGAAGCGUGCCGGUGCAGGCAAGAGACCACCGUAAGCGUCGUUGCGACCAAAUAAGCGCCGAUUCACAUCAGCGCGACUACGCUCUCGCUGCCUAAGCGACGGCUAGUCUGUCAGACCGGGAACGCCCUCGGCCCGGAACCUGGCAUCAGCUAGAGGGAUCCACCGAUGAGUCCGGUCGCGGGACUCCUCGGGACAACCACAGCGACUGGGAUCGUCAUCUCGGCUAGUUCGCGUGACCGGGAGAUCCGAGCAGAGGCAUAGCGAACUGCGCACGGAGAAGCCUUGAGGGAAUGCCGUAGGACCCGGGUUCGAUUCCCGGCAGCUCCACCG